rnacentral:rRNA from 1 species
GACGAACCGUGCAAACGUUAUUCGGAAUCACUGGGCAUAAAGGGCGCGUAGGCGGCUUUCUAAGUCGGGGGUGAAAUCCUGGAGCUCAACUCCAGAACUGCCUUCGAUACUGGAGAGCUUGAGUCCGGAAGAGGUGAGUGGAACUCCUAGUGUAGAGGUGGAAUUCGUAGAUAUUAGGAAGAACACCAGUGGCGAAGGCGGCUCACUGGUCCGGUACUGACGCUGAGGUGCGAAAGCGUGGGGAGCAAACAGG